rnacentral:misc_RNA from 1 species
GAUGAAGAACGUAGCGAAAUGCGAUACGUAAUGUGAAUUGCAGAAUUCAGUGAAUCAUCGAGUCUUUGAACGCACAUUGCGCCCCCUGGUAUUCCGGGGGGCAUGCCUGUCCGAGCGUCAUUGCUGCCCUCAAGCACGGCUUGUGUGUUGGGCUCCGUCCUCCCGGGGACGGGUCCGAAAGGCAGCGGCGGCACCGAGUCCGGUCCUCGAGCGUAUGGGGCUUUGUCACCCGCUCUGUAGGCCCGGCCGGCGCCAGCCGACAACCAAUCAUCCUUUUUUCAGGUUGACCUCGGAUCAGGUAGGGAUACCCGCUGAACUUAAGCAUAUCAAUAAGCGGAGGA